AAAAAAACAAAACACACACACACACAAAAAAAACCCUACCAAUAGCUUAUGUUAUAAAAAUGGUAAUUACCAGAAUGUCUGGUAUUAAAUGAAACAGCUUCUUCAACUGAAAACAGGCAAGCUGCUUUUACAGUGCAUAUAAGCACUGAUGUUUGUAGUCACUCGUGUUGUUUAUGAUUAUCAUAAAAAGUAAUGAAUAUUAAAAAUAUUUCUUUAUCAUGAUGAACAGAAAUUAACCAGUACUUUACUGAGGAUUCAUAUUAAGGAUUUGCAUAUGAUUUUCAUCUCUUGCUGGGAUAUGAAAACUACCACACAGGUAGACAGUGGACUUUCUAAUUUCCUUAUAGAAAUUCAUUAACUUACUAAAUUCCCCACUUCCUGAAAGAUAGCUGAGUUCGGUUGUACUCAUAUUACAAAUGAGUAAGUGAAAUACCAAGAAAGGAAGUGGUUUAACUGUAUUAUGCAGGAAUUCUGCUUGUGGAACUGAAUCAUAGCAUCAUUAAUCACCAGAGUAAGUGGUCAUCCGCAGGGACCUUGACAGGCUGGAGAGGGAUGACAGAAAUGUCAUGGAGUUCAGUAAGUAGAAGAGCUGAAUCCUGUAUCCAGACAGGAGCAGUUCCUGGAACCAGGACAUGCUGGGACCACCCAGCUGGAAACCAGCUCUGCAAAGAAGGACCUGAGGUUGUGGCAGCCCUCUUCUCAGUGCUGCUAAGGUUGCAUCUGGAGAACUACUGGGACUCCCGUAUAAGAGAGACCUGGACAUACUGGAAACAGUGCAAUGGAGGGUCACCAAGAUGGCUGGAGACUGGAGUGAGGAGAGGCUGAGAGGGUUGAAGCUCUUCAGCCUGGAGGAGACUCGGGAUCUCAUCGAUGGAAGUGAGAAGCUUUCUGUCUCUGUCAGUUCAAGGAGGAAGGUUGAAGAUGGAGGACUUUAUGAUAAAUCACACAGAAUGGUCUUGGGUAUUUUUGUACAAAAACAAAACAAAACCACAACCACUCCAACUUUGGAAUUUAAUUGAAUACAUACUUUGUUCAAAUCCUUCUUUCUUUCUCAUGUAGAGCUUGCACUGGUUAACAUUUAGAGUUUUAUUUAGUUGCCAUACAUACUUGUCUGGUGCCAUUUGAGACGCCCAGGAGUAUUCUUGCCUGUUGCCAACUGCUGCAGGAAAAUGGUACAAGCUUACGUAGGUUCCCUGCCACUGUGCAGAGCUACAUAUCUCUGAAUAACAGCCUUGUUAGGUUGCAUUAAGAAUCUACAUUCUGACAAAUAGGCCCUUCCUGAAUAUCAUUUGCAUUGAUGAACCUGGUCACACAGGGACUUCUUCACAUUUUAUCUGGAACUGAUUCCCUUAAAACAACCUGUAUGUGUCGGAGUUUGUCGUGUAAUUCCAUGCUGUCCAAGUACAAAAGGACAAACUAAUUCUGACAUUAUUCAUUAUUCAUUUUAUUUUGGAAAUCUGUGAACUGUGAUGAAAAUGUAGCAUCUCUUAAGAUGCCAUGUAUUUAUUUUAGCAACGGUGAGAAACUUUCUAUAAUUUCUUUAGUGCAAAUAGAAUCUGACUCAUCAUCUUCAGAGAUGAGUUCAAAGUUUAGGUUUACUUCCUGGUUUUUCUUACACUUAAGACCACGACUAAGCAUUGUACCACUUAACAUACUUUGUUCGUUCUUUUGUGGAUUUUUUUCUGUCUUCACCUUUCUUCCAUGAAGACUAACUGUUCUGUUGUGUUUGCUCCUAAAACAGCAUGGCAAAUCAACAUUAUUCCUUCUGGUGGAAGUUACUGGGAGAAACAGCUGAAUUUUUUUGUAAAAGUUAUUUUAAUAAACAUAGAAGCAUUAAAGCCCAAGUGCUGAAAUUAAAUUUGCAUAGUAUGUGAGGCUUCUCAGGGCAAAAAGACCAGAAAAUUAAUAGCAGCAGUAGCUGCUAACAUGGAAAGAAAACCAUGAGUGGAAAAAGAGCAAACUGAAAGUUCUUUGUCCUCCUUUCCAGCCUUCAGUUCCCAGAAUUUUGUUUGGCAAGGAAAGCAGGGAAUCUGUCUGACUUUCAAAUAAUUACUGACAUAUUACUCCAUUGCAGGCAAGUAGCAAAGAGCAGCUGCUUAUUGCAGCCGGAGCCAAACUCUCCCUUUGCCAUCCUCCAUUUCUUCCUGCCUUCCCUGGAGAAAGCUAUCUUGCUGUUAAGUAAACUAGGAUUGGUUUGCAAGAUAAAUUAAGAUUACAUUAGAAAAAUAUUUACUUACGCAGAAAGGAGCCUUUUAAAUAAUCUUCACUGCUUAGGAAACAAUGUGAUUUUGUGGGUAAAAAUAAAAACAAAUUUGUUACUCUACUGUUGUAAAGCUGCCGUCUUUUACGAGCCUGGGAAGGGUGACCUUAUUCAUUGUGAGUUUUUGCCAAUUCUGCCUACACACAACUAAAUCUUUUCCUGAUUCAUGAUGGGACUUAUCUGGGCCAUGUUUAACAGAGGUCUACUGCCCGACAGUAAAGGAGUUGAUUAUGAUUUUUGGCUUAUUGACAAGUGACUUAUUCACUUUUCAACAUUCCUUACAAGGUUUAACUGAAAAUUAAGAUUUCUUGAGAGAGAAAAUACCUUUUAAAAACAAACAAACAAAAAAUCCAAGAAGAACCACAGCAACCUGUAAGAAAUCAAUAUCAAACCAUUUCCAUUUAUACUGAGGCUAAACCUUUGCAAUAAAAAGGUCCUUCAAUGUUCUUGUCUUCCAAUAAAUAAAUAAAUAAAUAAAUUAUCUGCAAUGGUACCUGAAUACUGAAAGUUCAUUUCUCCAUUUAUGUCCACACCGAAAAUGAAUAUAAAACUGAAUUCCCUAGUACUUUUAUUCAUUAACAACUUCCAUCAGAAAAUAAAAAAAAAAAGAAAAUGUAUGUGUGCGUGGAGGAGUGUUGCUCAAGUUGCUCUUUAAGCAAUUCACACGAUAACUCCCUGAAUUCCUCCUGAUAGUUCAUUAGAGAUGAUGACUCCCUGUAUUCCUCCUGAUACUUCAUUAGAGAUUCUGUCUUCCUCCCUUGUUAGGCACUAGUGAGUAGUUGCCAUAUUCCACCCUGCUGUGCAGUGGUGGAGGAAGCAACCUGUACGUGUUACUUUGUGCUCUGUGCUAUGCUGAGAUGUAAGGAAUGCUAAUGACUGUGUGAAAAUUUCAUCUCUUGCAUCCAGAAGGAUACCGUGGGGUGCUGCAUAUUGUAGCUCUUGAAAUUCAUGGCUGCAGAUGUAGAGUCUAUGCAACUGAGCAUGAUAAAUCACACCAAACAAAUCUUUCUACAUUAAGAAUCUCUUUACAAACAAUUACUGUGUAAUAUUCUGUUUUGCGUUUGGAUGGAAGAAAUAUAUUUAGGUAAUAUUUAUUUGAAUGUUAAAUGAAAUAACAAAUAAAUCCAUGACAUGACUGCAUUUACACAGAUGUGGAAUUAAUAAAUCAUCCGAUUUUCCAAUUCCAUAAUCUGGAAAUCUUUCCAUGGGGAAAGAAAAACAUGUAUUGAAGUGAAAAAUGCCAUAUCCUCUUACAAAGAAAACAAACAAAAGUCUUGAGAAAGAUGAAGAGUAUGACACGUCUAUUUCUAAGCCUGGCAAGUAUUCUUGAAACCCUCAACCUGAGAUUAGAUGCUAUGUUUGAGGGUUUAAGUCUCCUCAUUUCAGAAAGAACGUGCUUCUCUCCUAACUGUGAUUUAAUCAAGCAAUUGUAGCUCCAUCUUUUUGUCAAAGAAGAUGGUGUCUGGUGUUUUUCUUCAUGAAACAGAGAAAAAAGACAGAAGCAGCUCACGUUAUUACAAGGUUUCUCUAGCUAGCAUAGUAUGAAAGGAGCCAUCUUGUGGUUGUCUAUUUUGCAAAUAAAAUGUUGCUACAGCAUUGCCUUGAAAAGCUGAAGUUACCUCUAUAAUUCUAUACAUUAUAUAUAAAACUACCUCUAUAGUUCUGUGACAAUUUUUCUUCUACUUGUUUAGAAAUGUUGCAUUUUGAGUAAGACUGUUUUCACUCAAUCUUUUUCAUUCUAUCAGAUUUCUUAUUUUACCAGACAUUCAAUCUAACCAAACAGAAUUAAACUUUGUAUGUUCAUUCUAUGUCCUCUAUUAGUCAACCCACACCAAUAUUUACCAGUCCUCUGAGUUCUUACAUCCUUUAAUUUGCACUCUAAAUUCUGCUUUAAGCUGCAGUCAAUCAUAUCUCUGAAAUACAACUCUCCUAGUAGAACUGAUUUCUAAA